CACAAGGACCUGAGUUUGAUCCUCGGUACCAAAAAAAAAAAAGAAGAAAAAUUAUGAACAUUUGUGCAUUAAAGGACAUUGGAGGGAAUGAAAAAACACACAGAACAGGAGAAAAUAUUUACAAAUCACAUAUUUGAUACAGGGUUACUUUCUAGAGUAUUUAAGUAACUAUAAGUCAACAACCAAAACGAAUUCACAUAUGGACAAAGGACUUGAAUAGACAUUUCCUCAAAGAAGAUAUGCACAUGAAAAGAUGCUCACCACCAUUAGCCAUUAGGAAAGCACAAAACUAAACCACAAUGAAAUAUCACUUUACACCCACUUGAAUAGCUAUUAGAAAACGAAACAAAUAAAUGACAAAGAUGUGGAAAAAGUAGAUCCCUCAUGCUGGUAGAAAUAUAAAUGGUAUAGUCUGGCAGUCCCUACAAAUGUUAAACAUAGGAUUACAUACGGCCAGUGAUUUCACUCCUAGUGAAAUGUAUGUGUGACUCAGACACAUACAUACAUGUAUACAUGUAUACAUACAUGUAUACUAAUGUUCAAAGUAGCAUCUUUCACAAUAGCCAAAAGGCUGAAGCAACCCAAGUGUGUAGUGACAGAUAAAAGGAUAAACAAAGGGUGAUAUAUCUGUAUAGUGGAAUAUUAUUCAGCCAUAAAAAGGAAUGGAGGGCCCGAGUUUGAUCCCCGGUACAAAAAAAAAAAAGGAAUGGAGUUCCAACAUAGAUGAACUUUGAAAAUGUCAUAUGUGAAAUAAGCCAGACAUGAAAAGAAUACUGAAUGAUUCCACUUAUACAAGAUACUUAGACUAGACAAAUUCAUAAAGACAGAACAUAGGCUAGAGGACACCAGGGGCUGGAGGGGCAGGGAUGAGAAUUAUUACUUAAUGGUAUAUAAAAUUUUGUUGGAGAUGAUAGAAAAGUUUGGGAAAUGGUGGUAGUUGCACAACAUUGUGAAUAUAUUUAGUGUCAUUGAAUAGUACGUGUUUUGUUUUUUUUUUUCUUGAGACAGGGUCUUGCUAUGUGGCCCAGGCUGGCCUCAAACUCGUGGCAAUCCUCCUGCCUCAGCAUCCCAAGUACUGGGAUAAUGGGCAUGCGGCACCACACCCACCUUGAAUUGUACAUUUAAAAGUGAUUAAAAUGAGCCAGCGAAGGAGAAGCUCACAGUUCCUCAGAAAAUAAUUUUUAAAAACUAGCUGGGAAGAGGGCCUCAGGACUUGAAUGGCUGAAACCAAAAAAGGUACUGAUUCUUGGCCAGUCCUGAGGAAGUGUUUCCUGUGGAAGACAUGAACACAAACAGAGUCAGAGCACCACCCUUCAGACAGCGUGCUGACAGAUGUAAGUAUGCACUGUUGGUACAAAUUAUACAACUUCAGGUACAGACAGAAAAGGAUAUAAAUUGUCAUGUGUAAUUAGUAGUGGGAAAUAUGUUCAAUAAUUAUUUUGUGUAUAACUUUGGAAAAAGUUGUAUAUAAUUAUUUAGAAGAGCUUUGGUAGUUUUAUUUUUUAAGGCAGAAAUGUCCAUAUUAAGCACAUAAUACAUAUACACAUAAUUAUUUUUCUGAGAAGCUGUAAGUUGGAGUGGAUAAUUUAAAAAUUCUCAUAUUGGUAUAAAAUGAAACAGUUUAAAGCUAAUACUGACUUGAUUUUAGCUGGAUUAUCAAACAAAUAAAAAAAAUCCAUCUGUGCAAUUAAAAUUUUUCUUAUUUUAAAAAAAAGUAUGACAUAAUCAUUAUUUAUCAGAUUCCAUGGAUAAAGUGCUUCUGUAUAUAGCAUACUUCACAUAACUAGAGAAGUAAUUCCUAAAAUUCAUUUGGAAUCAGAAGAGACCUAGAAUAGCAAAAACAAUUCUGGGCAACAAAGGCAAGGCAGGAGACAUCACAAUCCCUGACUUGAAAUUAUACUUCAGAACUACUAUGAUAAGA